UCCGUUGUAGCUCAGAGGUAGAGCACCCGGCUAGGGGCCGGGAGGACGCCGGUUCGAGCCCGGUCAACAGAU
rnacentral:tRNA from 1 species